ACACGCAUGACACACUGCAUAUCAAUAAGCGGAGGAAAAGAAACUAACAAGGAUUCCCUUAGUAACGGCGAGUGAAGCGGGAAGAGCUCAAAUUUGAAAUCUUCAAGGUUCUACCUUGACGAAUUGUAGUUUAUAAGAAGUGUUUUCUGUUAGUAAGUUUGGCUAAAAGUUCUUUGGAAUAGGACAUCAUAGAGGGUGAGAAUCCCGUAUUUGGUACCAUUCUUUCUAGCUGUGUGAUACACUUUCAACGAGUCGGAUUGUUUGGGAGUGCAGUCCAAAAUGGGUGGUAAAUUUCAUCUAAAGCUAAAUACUGGCGAGAGACCGAUAGCGAACAAGUACCGUGAGGGAAAGAUGAAAAGAACUUUGAAAAGAGAGUUAAACAGUACGUGAAAUUGUCAAAAGGGAAGCGUUUGACACCAGUGUUGUUUUCUCGAAAAUCAAUUAAAAAUGGUGGGAUUUUGUGUUGUAUUGACUUUAUCAGCUUUCUGCACUUUUUUCCUAUCUUUUUUAAUGCACUUUUCGUUUAACAAGUCAACAUCAAUUUCUUUUGCUGUAAAAGAGUCAUUGGAAGGUGGCUUUCUUUUCGGAGAAAGUGUAUAUAGCCUUUGACUUCUGCAAUCGGAGAGAUUGAGGUCUGCAGCGUAGAUCCUUCGGGGUUAGAUACAUUUGUGCUAAGCUAUAGCCUUUCAUAGACAACUUGUUGACUAUGAUCAGUCAUGUAGCUUACUCGCUUAUGCUAUUUUACCUACGCUUAGGAUGUUGAGCGCAUGUCUCUCUCU
rnacentral:rRNA from 1 species